rnacentral:rRNA from 1 species
UACAGAGGUCCCGAGCGUUUGUUCGGAUUCACUGGGCGUAAAGGGUGCGCAGGUGGUUUGGCAAGUUUGAUGUGAAAGCCCCGGGCUUAACCCGGGAAUGGCAUUGAAUACUGCUUGAACUGGAGGGUUGGAGGGGGGACUGGAAUUCUUGGUGUAGCAGUGAAAUGCGUAGAUAUCAAGAGGAACACCAGUGGCGAAGGCGAGUCCCUGGACAAACCCUGACACUGAGGCACGAAAGCCAAGGGAGCAAACAGG